UGCCGCGUGCAGGAAGACUGCCCUAUGGGUUGUAAACUGCUUUUAUACAGGAAGAAUAAGCCUUACGUGUAAGGUGAUGACGGUACUGUAAGAAUAAGGACCGGCUAACUCCGUGCCAGCAGCCGCGGUAAUACGGAGGGUCCGAGCGUUAUCCGGAAUUAUUGGGUUUAAAGGGUCCGUAGGCGGAUGAUUAAGUCAGGGGUGAAAGUUUGCAGCUCAACUGUAAAAUUGCCUUUGAUACUGGUUAUCUUGAGUUGUAUUGAAGUAGGCGGAAUAUGUAGUGUAGCGGUGAAAUGCAUAGAUAUUACAUAGAACACCAAUUGCGAAGGCAGCUUACUAAGUACUAACUGACGCUGAUGGACGAAAGCGUGGGUAGCGAACAGGAUUAGAUACCCUGGUAGUCCACGCCGUAAACGAUGGAUACUAGCUGUUCGGGGCCUUGAGCUCUGAGCGGCUAAGCGAAAGUGAUGAGUAUCCCACCUGGGGAGUACGUUCGCAAGAAUGAAACUCAAAGGAAUUGACGGGGGCCCGCACAAGCGGUGGAGCAUGUGGUUUAAUUCGAUGAUACGCGAGGAACCUUACCAGGGCUUAAAUGUUAGGUGACAGAUCUAGAAAUAGAUUUUUCUUCGGACACUUAACAAGGUGCUGCAUGGUUGUC
rnacentral:rRNA from 1 species